GACGAACGCUGGCGGCGUGCCUAAUACAUGCAAGUAGAACGCUGAAGGAGGAGCUUGCUCUUCUGGAUGAGUUGCGAACGGGUGAGUAACGCGUAGGUAACCUGCCUGGUAGCGGGGGAUAACUAUUGGAAACGAUAGCUAAUACCGCAUAAGAGUAGAUGUUGCAUGACAUUUACUUAAAAGGUGCAAUUGCAUCACUACCAGAUGGACCUGCGUUGUAUUAGCUAGUUGGUGGGGUAACGGCUUACCAAGGCGACGAUACAUAGCCGACCUGAGAGGGUGAUCGGCCACACUGGGACGGAGACACGGCCCAGACUCCUACGGGAGGCAGCAGUAGGGAAUCUUCGGCAAUGGACGGAAGUCUGACCGAGCAACGCCGCGUGAGUGAAGAAGGUUUUCGGAUCGUAAAGCUCUGUUGUAAGAGAAGAACGAGUGUGAGAGUGGAAAGUUCACACUGUGACGGUAUCUUACCAGAAAGGGACGGCUAACUACGUG
rnacentral:rRNA from 1 species